GAGUGCUUCUUCCCCGCCAGCGACAAGUGCUCCCAUUCCUCCUCUGAAGAAACCGCCUGAUCCUCCUCCUCCCCUCCCCCCCUUCUCCUGAGCUCCUCCUCCAAGGCCCCGCUACUGAAGGGGCAUCUCCCUCUUCGGGAGCAGCCUCUUCUCCCCUCGACAAAAGCCAAACUCGCACUGCUACCUCCUUGCAAGCGCAUAAAGUCUCACCCUUUUGGGCAAGCCUCCUCAGGCAAUCCUCUUCAGAUGACCCUUGGCGUUUCGACACGGAGCGCGGUCCUAGAUCCAGAGGAAGUGCAGAAUGCAAGGAGUCACUGACAACUCUACAAAUUUUUCGGCAAAGCACGCCCUUUGGAGUUCAUCAAAGGGGAGCCAUGGUUCCUCCGCGGACAUGCUCUCAACCUCUUCCCAAGGAGAGCAAACUUCCGACCUUUGAAGGAAAACGUAAAGUCUGCCCCCAUUCUGGAUCCAUUUUCCUAGCCUCCCCAUUGAACUGAUGUACCAUCGCGUUCUCCUCCAAAUCGCCGAUAGCAUUGGAUCUGCUGUCACCACCUCUGGAACUAGAGCGAGCAGGCUUGUUGGCCAUAAAAUCGAUCAAUGCAACCAAAGCAAGCCGCCGGAGCAAACGGCCGCCCCUGGCAAGGAUGCCGCAGGUGGGCAUUGGCUCUGUUACAGAGAUUGGCACGAACCGAGAACAUGGCCUACUGUACGGGCCCUGGUUCAAAGUCCAACACAAAUCCUGUUACAGUAGCCGUUUUGGCGCAACAUCGGUCCACUCCAGCGCCUCACCUCAGCCCACUGAACCCACUCCGGCCACCUCGCAGCCUGGUGAAUCCCGUACCAAACGGGCCUUUGCUUUCUCCUGUUUCCCGCCAUCCCGUUCCAUCUUCGGGUCACCCUUUCAAACCAGCAUUAAACCCCGUUGGUGCUUCCCCAGAUUGUAUUAGUUCUUCCCCUCCUUUCCAAUACUGCGUCAUUGGAGAUGCGCCCCUCCACCCUGACAUGCCACCGGUGCUAACGUCUUAGGAUGCCGCCUCCUCGACUGCCACACCCUCCUUUGUAAAGGGACGACAACCCCUCGCCCACCCUGCAAACAAGCACAACCCCGUUUCCUCACGCUUCUCUAGAUGUCAUCGCCUCGCCCCAUUUCCUCACCAUUAUCCCUCAACCCACAUUCUCUAGAUGGAGUAGUUUGGCCGGCUCAAGGUCGGUCUGGUGGAAUCAUCGUCGCUUGGAACUCCGGUACUCUCAAAGCUUCCCCUGUUAGUAUCUCACAACAAUCUUUGCACAUAAUGGUGGAAUAGAGAGGAUCAAGAACCCUAGUGGCAGGCACUUCCUCCUCCUCCUCCUCCACAACACUGAAGACGUCAGAGCUGUCUCACUGCAUAGGCUCAAAGAUCCUUUAAGUCUUCGCGGAUUCUAUGACCCUUGGGAACAUCCCAACCAAACGUUCCAACAUCCUGUACCCCUUCUGCAAGGAUAUUUUGUACUUGGCUUCUGCUGUGCAUGUCACUCACUGUAGUCAUAUCAGCAGAACAAUCAACACAAUAGCUCACAGCAUAAUUAAUUUUGCCAGACUGGCAAUUCUUUUA